rnacentral:rRNA from 1 species
GGGGAAUAUUGCACAAUGGGGGAAACCCUGAUGCAGCAACGCCGCGUGAGCGAUGAAGGCCUUCGGGUUGUAAAGCUCUGUCUUCGCUGACGAUAAUGACGGUAAGCGAGGAGGAAGCCACGGCUAACUACGUGCCAGCAGCCGCGGUAAUACGUAGGUGGCAAGCGUUGUCCGGAAUUACUGGGCGUAAAGGAUGCGUAGGCGGCCUCUUAAGUGGGAUGUGAAAUGCCGGGGCUUAACCCCGGAGGUGCAUUCCAUACUGGGAGGCUGGAGUGCAGGAGAGGAAAGCGGAAUUCCCAGUGUAGCGGUGAAAUGCGUAGAGAUUGGGAGGAACACCAGUGGCGAAGGCGGCUUUCUGGACUGUAACUGACGCUGAGGCAUGAAAGUGUGGGGAGCAAAC